rnacentral:rRNA from 1 species
CUACGGGGGGCUCCAGUUUCGAAUAAUUCACAAUGGGCGCAAGCCUGAUGAUGCGACGUUACGUGAAGGAAGAAAGCUUUAAGUUGUAAACUUCUGUCGUUAAGGAACAAAAAAUUAAGUAGUACUUUUUAUAUUGAGUUAACUUAAAAAGGAAGCAGUGGCUAAUUUCGUGCCAGCAGCCGCGGUAAUACGGGAACUGCAAGCGUUGCUCGGUUUUAUUGGGCGUAAAGAGUACGUAGGCUGUUAUAUAUGUUAAUUGUUAAAUUUUAAAGUUAAUCUUUAAAUUUGCUGUUAAAACUAUAUAACUAGAAUUUCAAAGAGGUAAGUGGAAUUUCAAGUGUAGCGGUGAAAUGCGUAGAUAUUUGAAGGAACACCAAUGGCGAAAGCAACUUACUGGGUGAUAAUUGACGCUAAAGUACGAAAGUAUAGGGAGCAAAAGGGAUUAGAUACCCCUGUAGUC